UGGUUCUGGCAUCGAUGAAGAACGCAGCGAAAUGCGAUAAGUAAUAUGAAUUGCAGAAUUCAGUGAAUCAUCGAAUCUUUGAACGCACAUUGCGCCCAUUAGUAUUCUAGUGGGCAUGCCUGUUCGAGCGUCAUUUCUACCUUCAAGCGCUUUCGCUUGGUGUUGGAGCAUAUCUGCCGUGCGGCAGAUAGCUCUCAAAGCUAGGGGCAGCCCUAUCGAUGCCUUCUAUGUAGUACACUAUCGCUCAUAUUAGGGGUCUAUAGCGGACUCGCCGGUAAACCACUCAGUUUGACCUCGGAUCAGGUAGGGAUACCCGCUGA
rnacentral:misc_RNA from 1 species